GUAGAAAUGUAUUUGAAUGCUUUUUCAUUGUCCAGAUAUCAUCAAUUACCACCACUAAAAUGUUAACAUACUGAAUUAGAUAGCAGGAUGAAACAGAACAAUAUAUCAUAAGAACAGUCAGAUAGACCAAUAAUUCAUCUCAGGGGCACGUUUGGCUCUAGUUGACGGGAUAUGAUGUCAUAGCUGCAUGUCCCAUAAGUCAUUACAAUGUAAUCAAGCUAGCGAUAUCAUUUCUGUGAAAUAUCUACUGAACUUGACAACUUAAUCAAAAUUUGUAGCUAUUUUGUUAAGCUAUGUCUAGGUCUAAUGGAAUGGCCCGAAUGGUUGGUACAGGAUGAACAAGCACGUUGUGUGACAUGUAGGCAAUAGCUAGGAUGUACUUAAAAAUGGUUAUGUUGCAAGCCCAAUACAAUAAUAGCAGGGUCAGCUGUGUUUAUUUUGCAAAACAGCCUCACUGGAUAGUUAUGUUGAGAAAGAAAGACUAAAGAAAUCCAUGCUUAAGCAGUGUACUGGAUUUUAUUACAGAUCUGAGCUGCUGCCUACAGCUGAGCUCCUAAAGGUGAAAAAGAGAGAUAAACAUAAAAUAGGAUUAGUAUGAGUGAGCAGAUCUGUGCAGACUCACAAUGUAUAUGGGGGACAUUGAUCCAAAACAGAAAUAAGAGCGUUGGCUAUAUAAAGAAAAAAGGUGCCUGUUCGUAAAUGCCUUGAAAGCAUCGAAAGAGCCAACUUCUGGAUCAUUACUUGUAAAACAGAAAUCCCACUGACUGCUAAGUAGUAUCAUAUCCUUUUCUGAUCAUUACAUUACAUUUAUUUAUAACGGGUGACAGCAGAUUCCUUAGUGCUGUUACAAUAAGGGAAUGUGAGCAUAUGUACAAAGACAACUUAAAAUAA